rnacentral:misc_RNA from 1 species
GACACUUCACAUCCCCUGCACGGACAACAUAAUAUGGGUAUCCAACAUUGGGUAAACCAAGAAUGUAAAUGAUCUAGCUCUCAUACCAUGCAUGUUUAGAAAUGGAUCUAGGACAUAACUCAACUUCAAAAGAUAGCUCAUCGAACGAGGAUUGUCAAAGAACAUAUAUGAAGAAAAAUUGCCACAAUCACCAUCGAUGUGGGAUACUAACUAC